CACGUAGGGUGCGAGCGUUGUCCGGAAUUAUUGGGCGUAAAGAGCUCGUAGGCGGUGUGUCGCGUCGGGCGUGAAAACCUGCAGCUUAACUGUGGGCUUGCGGUCGAUACGGGCAUCACUGGAGUUCGGCAGGGGAGACUGGAAUUCUUGGUGUAGCGGUGAAAUGCGUAGAUAUCAAGAGGGACACCUGCGGCGAAGGCGGGUUGCUGGGCCGACACUGACGCUGAUGCGCGAAAGCUAGGGGAGCGAACGGG
rnacentral:rRNA from 1 species